rnacentral:sRNA from 1 species
UAAGAAGGAUGUUAGCCUAAGUACGUAGCAUCCAUGCGACAACGGCUAGCUGAACUGCAUCAUGCAGC